rnacentral:rRNA from 1 species
AACGAACGCUGGCGGCGUGCUUAACACAUGCAAGUCGAGCGGAAAGGCCCUUUCGGGGGUACUCGAGCGGCGAACGGGUGAGUAACACGUGAGUAAUCUGCCCUUGGCUUCGGGAUAGCCACCGGAAACGGUGAUUAAUACCGGAUACGACACAUCACUGCAUGGUGCGUGUGUGGAAAGUUUUUUCGGCCAGGGAUGUGCUCGCGGCCUAUCAGCUUGUUGGUGGGGUAAUGGCCUACCAAGGCUUCGACGGGUAGCCGGCCUGAGAGGGUGACCGACCACACUGGGACUGAGACACGGCCCAGACUCCUACGGGAGGCAGCAGUGGGGAAUAUUGGACAAUGGGCGGAAGCCUGAUUCAGCAACGCCGCGUGAGGGAUGACGGCCUUCGGGUUGUAAACCUCUUUCAGCACAGACGAAGCGCAAGUGACGGUAUGUGCAGAAGAAGGACCGGCCAACUACGUGCCAGCCGCCGCCGUAAGAC